UAGCCUUGACAUACUACAGAAUUUGACAGAGAUGUUGAAGUGCCUUCGGGAGCUGUAAUACAGGUGCUGCACGGCUGUCGUCAGCUCGUGUCGUGAGAUGUUGGGUUAAGUCCCGCAACGAGCGCAACCCUCGUCCUUAGUUACUAACGGUUCGGCCGAGGACUCUAAGGAGACUGCCUUCGUAAGGAGGAGGAAGGUGAGGACGACGUCAAGUCAUCAUGGCCCUUACGGCUAGGGCAACACACGUGCUACAAUGGUUAGGACAAUGAGAAGCGAUACCGUGAGGUGGAGCAAAUCUAUAAACCUAAUCUCAGUUCGGAUAGCAGUCUGCAAUUCGACUGCUUGAAGCUGGAAUCACUAGUAAUCGUAGAUCAGCUAUGCUACGGUGAAUACGUUCCCGGGUCU
rnacentral:rRNA from 1 species